AUGUGCGGAAGAGUGGAGGAGCAUGAGGUCACCAUUGAUAAAAUGGAGGGUCAUGAGCGUGAUUACGCUAAUGAGAUUGCGGACCUCUCUCAAGCUCUUGAACUUGAACAAACCACCAAGGAAUCUCUUGAGGAGACUUUUGCUCUAGAAUUAUCUAGAGUGAGGGAAUCUCGUGAUAGAGCUCUUGAGGUGGCCAAUGAUUUUGAAACUAAAAAUGAGGAGCUUGAAGUUGCGCAUGCUAAACUCCUUGAGGACUUUGAGCACCUCGAAAAUGGCUCAAGGGUCAUUGAGAGUGAGCUCAUCAAACUCACCGAGUCUCAUGCUCAACUUAAAGCUUCAUAUUCAAAAGAGCUUGUAAAGUUGCCUUCUCCUCUUGCUAUUAUUGAUGAUGCUUGUGCUACUAACUCUAUUACUUGUGAAGCAUCCAUUUUGAAGGAGAAUGUUGAGCUUCGGGCUCAACUUGAGUUGCUAUCUAGAAAUUAUGAGAAAUUGGAAGAAAGCCAUGAAAAGCUCUCAAGCUCUCAUGAUGAUCUUCUAGUAUCCCAUAAUGUGCUAAAGAUAGCUCAUGAGGCCAUGAUUUCUAAGGUAACAUCUAGUGAGCCUCAUGUGGAUACUAGCACUACUUCUAGUCAAAAUGCUAUAUUGCCAUGUGCUAGUCCUUGUAAUUCAUCUACUCACAAUGUCGGUACCUCUUGUGAUGAAUUGCUUUCCUUGCCUUGUUGCUCUAACAAUGAAGCUUAUACUUCCUCUAGUGCUUGUGUUGAGACUAACCAUGUAGAGGAAAUCAAAGAGCUCAAGGCCCAAGUCACUUCUUUGAAGAAAGACUUGGAAAAGAGUCAUGAAGGGAAAUUUACACUCAACAACAUCUUGAGAGUGCAAAAAUCCCCCAAUGACAAAGGUGGACUUGGAUUCAACUCCAACAAGAAGAAGAAGUCCAAGAUGAACAAAAAGAAGGACCAAGAACAAGUCAAGAAUUCGGCCAAGAUUGUUUGCUUCAAGUGCAAAGUAGAAGGGCAUCAUGUUAGAUCUCGCCCAUUGAAGAAGAAGGCCAUUAGUGAUAAGCAACAAGGGAAGCGGCCACAAGUUCACCCUCAUUCUCAACCUCAAGUUGAAGAAAGGCCUCUUCCCAAGAAAACUCAAGCUAAUGCUUCUCAAGUUGAGAAAUCAAGUGAGAAGAAAGUAAAGAGUAGGCGUUGCUACCUAUGUCGUGAAAAAGGUCACGUCGCUUCUUCAUGCACUAGUGGUAACUUAUCCAACCCAAUUAUUAUUGAUGAUGUAUAUUCUCUUGGGAAGGAUAAGGUUGGCAAUGUGGCCAAAUUUUUUGGUACUCAAAGUGGUGUCAAGAAAAGAACCAUUUGGGUAGCCAAGCCUAUUGUGACUAACCUCUUAGGACCCAACUUGGUUGGGGACCAACUAGCUCAAACUUGA
rnacentral:rRNA from 1 species